GGGUCAAACUGGCUUUUUACCAAAAGAUAUUAUAAAAGAAUUAAAGGCACCUUCUGAAAAACACGAGUCAGAUUUGCAAAAGUUUGCAAUCCAAGAUAUUACGCCAUCAAAAGCUUUAUGUGAAGAAGAAACAGAUGUCCUGCUCUUAUUUCAAAAGCCUCUUCCAACCAAGGGACAGUAUUUUAUUA